rnacentral:rRNA from 1 species
GACGAACGCUGGCGGCGUGCUUAACACAUGCAAGUCGAACGGAAAGGCCCUGCUUUUGUGGGGUGCUCGAGUGGCGAACGGGUGAGUAACACGUGAGUAACCUGCCCUUGACUUUGGGAUAACUUCAGGAAACUGGGGCUAAUACCGGAUAGGAGCUCCUGCUGCAUGGUGGGGGUUGGAAAGUUUCGGCGGUUGGGGAUGGACUCGCGGCUUAUCAGCUUGUUGGUGGGGUAGUGGCUUACCAAGGCUUUGACGGGUAGCCGGCCUGAGAGGGUGGCCGGCCACAUUGGGACGGAGAUACGGCCCAGACUCCUACGGGAGGCAGCAGUGGGGAAUAUUGCACAAUGGGCGGAAGCCGGAUGCAGCAACGCCGCGUGCGGGAGGACGGCCUUCGGGUGGUAAACCGCUUUCGCCUGUGACGAAGCGUGAGGGACGGUAAUGGGUAAAGAAGCACCGGCUAACUACGU